GGCUUAAUGAUUAAUAAUUUUAAGUCAAUCUGCCCAAUGAAGAAAAAUUAAAUGGCUGCAGUAUAAUUAACUGUACAAAGGUAGCAUAAUCAAUUGUUUUUUAAUUGAGAACUGGAAUGAAAGAAUUAAUGAGAUAUAUACUGUCUCAUAUAUAUUUAAUGAAAUUAAAUAUUUAGUAAAAAUGCUAAAAUAAAUUUAUGGGACGAUAAGACCCUAUAGAAUUUUAUAUUAAUUAAUUAAAUUUAAAUUAAAUUUUGAUUAUUAAUAUUUAAUUGGGAGGAUUAAUAAAUUUGAUAAACUUUAUUUUAAAAUUUAACUUUAAUUAAAGAAUAAUUUAAUGAUCUUGUAUUAUGAAUUAAAAGAAAAAAUUACCUUAGGGAUAACAGCGUAAUAUCUUUUUAAAGAUCAAAUUAAUAAAGAUGAUUGCGACCUCGAUGUUGAAUUAAGAUAAAUUUUAAAUGAAGAAGUUUAAUAAUUAAGUCUGUUCGACUUUUAAAAUCUUACAUGAUUUGAGUUCAAAUCGACGUAAGU
rnacentral:rRNA from 1 species